CUCUCUCUCUGUGUCUCUGUCCCCGUUUGACUCCCAGGGGGGCUUUCUCUGUGGUCCGGCGCUGCGUAAAGCUCUGCACCGGCCAUGAGUAUGCAGCCAAGAUCAUCAACACCAAGAAGCUGUCGGCCAGAGAUCACCAGAAGCUGGAGAGAGAGGCUCGAAUCUGCCGCCUUCUGAAGCACUCCAACAUCGUGCGUCUGCACGACAGCAUCUCGGAGGAGGGGUUCCACUACCUGGUCUUCGACCUGUAAGUGCUCAGCGUCGGGCCUGGGUGGGACCCGGCUUCC